ACCUCCUUCCAAAUUUGCUGCACCACCUUCCAAACCUGCUGCACCACCUUCCAAACCCGCUGCACCACCUUCCAAACCCGCUGCACCACCUGCCAAGGAGGUGAGAGGGACGAGCACAAAGACGCAAAAGACGACCUCCAAUGAUGCAUAGAGGUGAUCCAUGCUUGAUGAUGUGGGAAUUACUGCAAUGCACUUCUCGCAUAGCCGUGUUGUAAAAUCAACCGUGCUUAGGAAAAUAUAAUUUAUUUUUUUAAACACUUUACCUGAUUAUACAUAGUAGCAGCGAUUGUAUUUGAAGUUCUUAAUCGGUUCCCGCAUGGUGACACUCGUUUUUCACCAUCCGCAGACUGGUUUUGUCUACAUUGAUUCCCAUGUCGUUUUCACUUACAUUAUCUGACUACUAUCUGAAGUCCUUUUCCAAUGUCAAGGUCCGUGUCCCACUAACCACUGCCCGUGGGAAGUCGCCUAGUGGAGCCAUGAUAAAAACCACUGCCAGUUCUUUUUCUCCCAAUGUACAAGCCAGUACUGAGUCUUAAAACUGAGUUUGUCGCCUUUCUUUUUUAUGUGCAUUUUACUAUCUUCACGUAGAUUCAUCACUAUUCUGUUUGUGAUGACAGCCCG
rnacentral:lncRNA from 1 species